rnacentral:rRNA from 1 species
AACCCGCUCUAGCGAGUUAUCAUCGGAAUGAGUACAAUCUAAAUCCUUUAACGAGGACCUAGCGGAGGGCAAGUCUGGUGCCAGCAGCCGCGGUAAUUCCAGCUCCGCCAGUGUAUAUCUAUGCUGCUGCGGUUAAAAAGCUCGUAGUUGGAUCUUCGUGUUGAUGCCGGUCUGUCUUUGUGACAUGAACUGACCAUCAGCACUGUUUCGUUGGUUUUCCCUUGAUGCCUUUAAUCGGGUGUCCUGGGUGGCCAACAUGUUUACUUUGAAAAAAUUAGAGUGCUUAAAACAAGCGAUUUGCUUGAAUAUUCGUGCAUGGAAUAGUAGAAUAGGCUUUUGGCUCUAUUUUGUUGGUUUUCGGAGCACAAAAGAAUGAUUAAGAGGGACAGACGGGGGCAUUCGUACUCCGACGUUAGAGGUGAAAUUCUUGGAUCGUCGGAUGACGCACUACUGCGAAAGCAUUUGCCAAGAAUGUUUUCAUUAAUCAAGAACGAAAGUUAGAGGUUCGAAGGCGAUCAGAUACCGCCCUAGUUCUAACCGUAAACGAUGCCAACUAGCGAUCUGCUGGUGUUUUUUCAGACCCAGCAGGGAGCUUACCGGAAACGAAAGUCUUCAGGUUCCGGGGGAAGUAUGGUUGCAAAGCUGAAACUUAAAGGAAUUGACGGAAGGGCACCACCAGGAGUGGAGCCUGCGGCUUAAUUUGACCCAACACGGGAAAACUCACCCGGCCCGGACACCGUAAGGAUUGACAGAUUGAGAGCUCUUUCUUGAUUCGGUGGGUGGUGGUGCAUGGCCGUUCUUAGUUGGUGGAUUGAUUUGUCUGGUUUAUUCCGAUAACGAACGAGACUCCAACCUACUAACUAGUGGGCGAAUCUUCUUGUUCGCAACACUUCUUAGAGGGUCAAGCAGUGUUUAGCUGCAUGAGAAGGAGCAAUAACAGGUCUGUGAUGCCCUUAGAUGUCCGGGGCUGCACGCGCGCUACACUGAAGGAAUCAACGUGCUAGAAAACCUUGUUUGACAUGGCUAGGUAACCCCUUGAAAAUCCUUCGUGAUUGGGAUCGGGACUUGCAAAUGUGUCCCUUGAACGAGGAAUUCCCAGUAAGUGCGAGUCAUCAGCUCGCGCUGAUUACGUCCCUGCCCUUUGUACACACCGCCCGUCGCUGCCCGGAACUGAGCCGUUUCGAGAAGACUGGGGACUGCCGACUUAGGGCCCUCACGGGUUUUUUGUCAGUGGAAACCAAUU